rnacentral:rRNA from 1 species
UACGGAAGGCAGCAGUGGGGAAUAUUGCACAAUGGGCGCAAGCCUGAUGCAGCCAUGCCGCGUGUAUGAAGAAGGCCUUCGGGUUGUAAAGUACUUUCAGCGGGGAGGAAGGCGAUGCGGUUAAUAACCGCGUCGAUUGACGUUACCCGCAGAAGAAGCACCGGCUAACUCCGUGCCAGCAGCCGCGGUAAUACGGAGGGUGCAAGCGUUAAUCGGAAUUACUGGGCGUAAAGCGCACGCAGGCGGUCUGUUAAGUCAGAUGUGAAAUCCCCGGGCUUAACCUGGGAACUGCAUUUGAAACUGGCAGGCUUGAGUCUUGUAGAGGGGGUAGAAUUCCAGGUGUAGCGGUGAAUGCGUAGAGAUCUGGAGGAAUACCGGUGGCGAAGGCGGCCCCUGGGACAAAGACUGACGCUCAGGUGCGAAAGCGUGGGGAGCAAACAGGGAUUAGAUACC